rnacentral:rRNA from 1 species
GUACUUAGGUAGUAAUAGUUAUAGGCUUGAAACUUAAAGAAUUUGGCGGUAUUUUAAUCUUUUUAGAGGAACCUGUUCUGUAAUCGAUAUUCCACGUUAAAUUUUACUAAAUUAUUUGUAUAUCGUUGUCGAAAAAAUAAAUUUUUUAAUUUUAUUAUUUUAAUAGAUGUCAAAUCAAGGUGCAGUUUAUAAUUUAGUAGAAAUGGGUUACAAUAAAUUUAUUUAGGAAUUUAAUGAAGAUGGAUUUAAAAGUAAAUUAAUUUUAAUAAAUUUAAUUGGCUAUAGUUCUAAAAUAUGC